rnacentral:rRNA from 1 species
GACGAACGCUGGCGGCGUGCUUAACACAUGCAAGUCGAACGGUGAAGCCUUUCGGGGUGGAUCAGUGGCGAACGGGUGAGUAACACGUGGGCAACCUGCCCCUGACUUCGGGAUAAGCCCGGGAAACCGGGUCUAAUACCGGAUAUGAUCACGUCCCGCAUGGGGUGUGGUGGAAAGUUUUUCGGUCAGGGAUGGGCUCGCGGCCUAUCAGCUUGUUGGUGGGGUGAUGGCCUACCAAGGCGACGACGGGUAGCCGGCCUGAGAGGGCGACCGGCCACACUGGGACUGAGACACGGCCCAGACUCCUACGGGAGGCAGCAGUGGGGAAUAUUGCGCAAUGGGCGAAAGCCUGACGCAGCGACGCCGCGUGAGGGAUGAAGGCCUUCGGUUGUAACC